AGCCAUGCAUUGAGCACAGAGCGAACUAUUCCUUCGCCUUUUACUAAAGAAUACCGUGUGCGCAUUGCAUCUAGUGGCAUACGCCAAUUUUUGGAGGGAUUGCUCUCUUUUUGAGUGCC
rnacentral:snRNA from 1 species